AUGGCAACUCAGAGCGCCUGUCCGCUGUGUGGAUGCCAAGAUUGGUGGAGACAUGCCCUCUUGUCAUGCACUAUGUCGAGGUGUAUUUGGGCUUUGACGGAUGAAACUCUUGUGACAAAGAUGACGGAAAACGUGGAGCUAAGUGCCAAAAACUGGCUGUUUGAACUUCAUGAGGCACUAGACCAUGCGAGUUUCAUGAGAAUGGUCGUCACACUGUGGGCUGUGUGGUAUGCAAGGCGCAAGCCAAGAGUGCAGGUACUUGCUGUACCAGGGCAGCAACGCCGAUGGAUCCCACCUCCAGCUGGUUUUAAUAAGAUCAAUGUGGAUGGUGCACUAGCAAGGAAUAUAUGAGUGCGAGUGGCGGCUGCAGUCUGUCGAGAUUCAAAUGGAAAUUUUCUUGGCUCGUCAGCAGUUGUCUUUCGAGGAAUCAGAGACCCUAUGAUUCUGGAGACAUACGCUUGUCGGGAGGCUCUAUCUUUGGCGGAGGAUCUGUACGAGCAGAAUAUCAUGGUAGCCUCAGAUUGUCAAGGUGUGGUGCAAGAUAUCAACGAAGGGACGGGAGGUCCCAAUGCGGCUAUUAUACAUGAAAUAAUAGACCGCAAAGCUAGUUUCUCUUCUUGCUCGUUUGUUUUUGAGCGAAGGAACUUUAACUUCGAGGCUCAUAAUCUCGCUAAAUUCGCGUGUAAUUUAGAUAUAGGUAGGCCUAUUUGGUUCGGCACUCCUCAUGACCCAAACCGUGUACCUAUGAACAUUGUUUUGAAUCAAUAA
rnacentral:rRNA from 1 species